UUAACUACUCUGUAGAUUUAAGUUUUCCCUUCAUCCACAAAACAGGUAAAGUAAGGACACUGCAAUGUAAGCUUCCCCCAUUAGCCUGCCUCUGUUCCUCAACCCGGACCUAGAGUGACCACCUUGUAAUUCCUCUGCUAAGGCUGCCAAAAAGGACCACAUUUGCUGGUUUUAUUAUAGUGCCCUC
rnacentral:sRNA from 1 species